rnacentral:rRNA from 1 species
UAGGGAAUCUUCGGCAAUGGACGGAAGUCUGACCGAGCAACGCCGCGUGAGUGAAGAAGGUUUUCGGAUCGUAAAGCUCUGUUGUAAGAGAAGAACGAGUGUGAGAGUGGAAAGUUCACACUGUGACGGUAUCUUACCAGAAAGGGACGGCUAACUACGUGCCAGCAGCCGCGGUAAUACGUAGGUCCCGAGCGUUGUCCGGAUUUAUUGGGCGUAAAGCGAGCGCAGGCGGUUAGAUAAGUCUGAAGUUAAAGGCUGUGGCUUAACCAUAGUACGCUUUGGAAACUGUUUAACUUGAGUGCAAGAGGGGAGAGUGGAAUUCCAUGUGUAGCGGUGAAAUGCGUAGAUAUAUGGAGGGACACCGGUGGCGAAAGCGGCUCUCUGGCUUGUAACUGACGCUGAGGCUCGAAAGCGUGGGGAGCAAACAGGAUUAGAUACCCUGGUAGUCCACGCCGUAAACGAUGAGUGCUAGGUGUUAGACCCUUUCCGGGGUUUAGUGCCGCAGCUAACGCAUUAAGCACUCCGCCUGGGGAGUACGACCGCAAGGUUGAAACUCAAAUGAAUUGACGGGGGUCAUAGCUG